AACCCCCUGCCGUGUUCGUGAUGAGGGCACGUGUUUUGAACCAACAGUGAAAAAGAGGGGCCCUCUUCGUAGCGUGGUGUGCAUAGCCCCACCUUGUGUGGGGAGAGCCUGAAGCGCUGCCCGGGCAACCACCUGAUUAUUCAGGUUCAAACCUCAUCCCUCAAACGGCACAAUGGUGGGGGGUCU
rnacentral:other from 1 species